UUGGAGGGCAAGUCUGGUGCCAGCAGCCGCGGUAAUUCCAGCUCCAAUAGCGUAUAUUAAAGUUGUUGCAGUUAAAAAGCUCGUAGUUGAAUUUCGGGAUCAAUUUAUUGGUCGUGCCAACGGUACGCACUGGUACAAUUGGUUUCUCCCUUCUGACGAAGCAUGAUGUCAUUAAUUUGAUGUCGUGGGGAAUCAGGACUGUUACUUUGAAAAAAUUAGAGUGUUUAAAGCAGGCUUUGGCUUGAAUACAUUAGCAUGGAAUAAUGAAAUAGGACGUUUGAUCUUAUUUCGUUGGUUUCUAAGAUCGACGUAAUGAUUAAUAGGGAUAGUUGGGGGCAUUAGUAUUCAAUUGUCAGAGGUGAAAUUCUUGGAUUUAUUGAAGACUAACUACUGCGAAAGCAUUUGCCAAGGAUGUUUUCAUUAAUCAAGAACGAAAGUUAGGGGAUCGAAGACGAUCAGAUACCGUCGUAGUCUUAACCAUAAACUAUGCCGACUAGGGAUCGGACGAUGUUAAUUUUUUAAUAACUCGUUCGGCGCCUUACGGGAAAC
rnacentral:rRNA from 1 species